ACUCAUAAGCCAGGACUUCCCAAGAGUGUCCCAUGGAACCUGAGUUCUAAGGACGGUACAUGAAAAAAAUCAACAUGGGUUCCAUGAUCAAAGAAGUUUGGGAAAUGGGCUAAAUGAAAGGACUUCCAAGGCCUUUUAUCUGCUAAUGAGAAAGAACAAGCCCUGUGAAAAACAAGCUGCUGUCCCUGCUAGAGGCAUCCUGCAAUCCAUGGAUGUUUAUCACCAAGCCAUUGUUAACAUGAGGUAAUGGCUAUGCAGAAUUUGUUUCACUCACCCCUUGGAACUCAGAUUCCCUGUGGAGAGUUGGAGUAAUAUAUAUGAGGACAAUAGGGAGCCUGAAAGUUAAGAAUUCAUCCUGUUGUAUUUCUCCAAUGGCACAUUCACGAUGUGGCUCCAUGGUUUAAUGCAGACUGAAAAGCAGUUGGCAUUUCACAGCAGGAGGUUAGACAUGGAGUGUGCUACUGGGUCAGGGUAGCUUGACUGGAUAUAAGUGUGUGUGAUGGAUGCUGUAAUGAGGUGGGAGGCAGGUGACCUGAAUUUUAGUCCCAAAGAUACCACACUAAACUCUUGCUAUGUGACCUUAGCCAAAUUCUUAGUUUUCUUAUCUGUAAAAUGAGGUUUAGAUGGUCCUGAAACCACCCACUCAUGCUCCUCCUCCUCCUCAUCUUUCCUGGCUGACUGGGAUGAUGACCAUGAGGCAAUGUUGGCAGCCAGGAGUAGAAAAUGGCAGACUCACUAGAACAUCUGAAUCCCUGAAAAACAGUAUCGCUGUUGCUGCUGAUUAAACCUCCCCCUUGAGAAAGGAAAACAUUUUUUGUAAGCUACUGGAUGUUUUGGGUCCCUGUGUUUGCCAUCUUCCUUAUUUCAUAUGAGAACUAGUACCGAAAAGUAAGCACUAUAACAAACAUCUAAAAUGGAAGGUAUUAGCUUAGCAUUCAGACUGAAGGCAGGAAUAAAAUGGUUAUGAGUGGCUAGAAAGUGAAAGCCUCAUGUUAUCCAUGGAUAACUUUAAAAAUUAUCAUCUGUGAUUAUUUGGAAGGUAGACCAAGAACGUAUUGAGUCUGUGGCUUUAGGGAAAGCAGGUGAAAAGAGUAGGAAUAUUAGUGUAUGUCAACUGCUAUUUGUUGUUUUUAAUCAAGUGCUACAAGAAACAGAUAAACUCAAGCAAGAAUUGGUUAGUUUGCCAGCCAAAGUGGAACUGGAAAAAAAAAUACAAAGCUUCUUGGGGCUGAAAAAACUCUUGGGUUCUAUACCUCAAAUACGAAAAGAUAAGAUUUGCAGAUCAAAAAAAAA
rnacentral:lncRNA from 1 species